UAGGGAAUCUUCGGCAAUGGGGGGAACCCUGACCGAGCAACGCCGCGUGAGUGAAGAAGGUUUUCGGAUCGUAAAGCUCUGUUGUUAAGGAAGAACGAGUGUGAGAAUGGAAAGUUCAUACUGUGACGGUACUUAACCAGAAAGGGACGGCUAACUACGUGCCAGCAGCCGCGGUAAUACGUAGGUCCCGAGCGUUGUCCGGAUUUAUUGGGCGUAAAGCGAGCGCAGGCGGUUAGAUAAGUCUGAAGUUAAAGGCAGUGGCUCAACCAUUGUAGGCUUUGGAAACUGUUUAACUUGAGUGCAGAAGGGGAGAGUGGAAUUCCAUGUGUAGCGGUGAAAUGCGUAGAUAUAUGGAGGAACACCGGUGGCGAAAGCGGCUCUCUGGUCUGUAACUGCCGCUGAGGCUCGAAAGCGUGGGGAGCGAACAGG
rnacentral:rRNA from 1 species